rnacentral:lncRNA from 10 species
CGUAAACGUCACUUCCGGGGCCUUUGACUCUGGACGGGAGGAAGUGCGAGUGGAUCCAAAGGGUCGAGCGGAGUGGGGUACCGCCCUGACGCCCAAGAGCAAAUGGAAGAGGGCGGCCUCCGGGGUAAAGGUGGGGCGCUGGGGAGCCCCGGAGAAACCGGCGUUUCCUAGUCUGUCGCUCAGUCCCUGCUUCCGGCUUCCGACGCGCAACAGCUGGAGGGCGACGCUGGCUCCGCGGCGACUCCUGGGGCUGCGGCCGCGGUGGUAGCGCGAAUGGGAGGUGGAGCGGAGCUACUGCGCCGAGGGACGCUUCAGAAACUCUGUUUCAGUCCUUCGCGGAUCCUAGGAUGUGACAGGUGUUCGAGUUAAAAGGUCUUAAGGCGAUCGGUUGAUCCAAAAGCAGCUGAAUCUUUAGGAGGCCCAGGCAGGAGGAUCGCUUGAGUCCAGGAGUUCGAGACCAGCCUGGGCCACAGAGCAAGGUCACCAUCUCUACAAAAGAAAUUUUACAAAUCAGCCGGACAUGAUGGCGGGCACCUGUGGUCCCAACUACCAGGGAGGCUGAGGUGGGAGGAUCGCUUGAUAGCCCAGGAAUUAAAGGGUCUUAAGGCGAUCGGUUGAUCCAAAAGCAGCUGAAUCUUUAGAAGACCCACGCAGGAGGAUUCCUUGAGGCCAGGAGUUCGAGACCAGCCUGGGCCACAAAGCAAGAUCACUGUCUCUACAAAAGAAAUUUUACUUGCUGGGCGCGGUGGCUCACGCCUGUAAUCUCAGCACUCUGGAAGGCCGAGGCGGGCGGAUCACGAGGUCAGGAAAUCGAGACCAUCCUGGCUAACACAGGGACCCCGUCUUUUCUAAAAAAUACAAAAAAUUAGCUGGGCGUGGUGGCGGGCGCCGGUAGUCCCAGCUACUCGGGAGGCUGAAGCAGGAGAAUGGCGUGAACCUGGGACGCGGAGCUUGCAGUGAGCCCAGAUCGCACCACUGCACUCCAGCCUGGGCGACAGAGCGAGACUCUGUUUAAAAUAAACAAACAAAUUUUACAAAUCACCCAGGCAUGAUGGCGCGCACCUGUGGUCCCAGCUACUGGGGAGGCUGCGGUGGAAGGAUCGCUUGAUAGCCCAGGAAGUUGAGGCUGCAGAGAUCCCUCCACUAAACUCCAGCUCCGGUGACAGAGCAGAGCGAGACCCUGCCCUCCCCUCCCCCCACAAAAAGCAUAACCGAGACCCAGAAGUGCAAUAAAUUAGCCAGUGUCACAAAGUAUUAAUGGUUGAGUCACAAAUUGAAUCCUGUUGACGUGAUUCCCAUGUAAGGAAUGUGAAAAACAGUACCUAAAUACUGACUGCUCUGCGUCCUGGAUGCCAUCUAUGGCGUAAGGUGCAGUCACAGCAAGAAAAAAAAGAAAAUACUAUGCUGUGGCUGUGAGAUAGGCCUGGGUUGGAAUCCCAGCUUUGCUAAUUAUCGCUGCUGUGUUUUUGGACAGGUUGCCUAAUUUUUGUCUUUUUUUGGUGGGGGAGUCUCGCUUUGUGGCCCAUACUAGAGUGCAGUGGUGCGAUCUCGGAUCAUUGCCUCCUAGGUUGAAGGGAUUCUCCCACCUCAGCCUCCCAAGUAGCUGGAAUUGCAGGCGCCCACCACCACGCCCAGCUAAUUUUCUUGUAUUUUUAAUCGAGACAGGGUUUCACCGUGAUGGCCAGGCUGGUUUCGAAUUCUGACCUCAACUGAUCCGCCCCCCUUGGCGUCCCAAAGUGUUAGGAUUACAGGUGCCCGCCACCACGCCUGGCUAAUUUUUGUAUUUUUAGUAGAGACGGGGUUUCACCGUGUUAGCCAGGAUGGUCUCGAUCUCCUGACCUUGUGAUCCGCCCGCCUCGGCCUCCCAAAGUGGUGGGAUUACAGGCGUGAGCCACUGCGCCCCGCCAAUUUUGUAUUUUUAGUACAGACGGGGUUCCUCCAUGUUGUCAGGCUGGUCUCAAACUCCUGACCUCAGGUGAUCCACCUGUCUCAGCAUCCCAGGCAUGAGCCACCAAGCCCAGCCUCAUUUGGUUACUUUUUGCAUGGAAUUUAUUUUUUCAUUCUUUUGUUUUCAAUCUCUUUGUUUCUUUGUAUCUAAAGUGAGUCUCUUAUAGACAGUAUAUGGAUGGAUCAUGUUGUAUUUUAUUUUACUUAUUUUUUUUACAUUUCCCAAGGCUCUGUCAUCCACCUUUUCAUUAAAUCAUUCUACCAAUCUCUCCUGGGCUCAGGUGAUCCUACCACCUCAACUGCCUGAGUAGCUUGGACUGCAGGCACAUGCCACCGCUCAUGGCCUAUAUUCUUCUUCUCUUUUUUUUUGGGUGGGGGGGUGGUGCUUAAACAACAGAAAUUUAUUUCUCUUGGUUAUGGAGUCUAGAAAUCCAAGUUAAGGGCUGGGCGCAGUGGCUCACACCCGUAAUCUCAGCACCUUGGAAGGCCAAGGCAGAUGGAUCACCUGAGGUCAGGAGUUCCAGACUGGCCUGGCCAACAUGGCAAAACCCCGUCUCUACAAAAAAUACAAAACUCAGGCAUGAAAAACCAAAAGAAAUCCAAAAUCAGAUCACAGAAUUGGCAGGUUUGGUUUCUCCUGAGGCCUCUCUCCUUGGCUUAUAAAUGGUCACCUUUUCACUGUGUCCUCACAUGGCCUUUUCUCUGUGAACAUGCAUUCUUGGUGUCUGUGUGUGUGUCCAAAUUUCCUCUUUUUAUAAAGUCACCAGUCGAAUUGGACUAGGGCCCACCCUAAUGGCAUCAUCUUAACUCACCUCUUUAGAGACCCUAUUCCUAAAUACAGUCACAUUCUGAGGUAUUGGAGUUAGGACUUCAACAUAUAAAUUUGGUGGGGAUCACAAUUAAGCCUAUAACAUAAUCAUAGUUACUUAAAAAAUAAAUAACAUGGUGAUAUAGAAUAAGCAGGCAGGAGCGAGGGUUUGGGAGCCUAGGGAGAACCUGGUAAGAUGGCACCAAGUUGACACCAUAAGGGACUGUGAGGGUGAAGCCACCUGGGAAGGAAGAAGAGAAGGAAGAUGCCAGACAGUCCUGGAGGUUAGGCAGGACUUAAAUGACUUUGAGACUGGUCACUCAUCCAAAUAUGAAAACUCUCGGGACUCAGAAAAUGAUAGGACUAAGCAAAAAUCCAGCACCAGGGCGGGUGGCUCAUGCCUGUAAUCCCAGCACUUUGGGAGGCCGAGGUGGAUGGAUCACCUGAGGUCAGGAGUUCGAGACCAGCUCUGGCCAAAUGGUGAAACCCCAUCUCUACUAAAAAUACAAAAAUUAGCUGGGCAUGGUAGUGCACACCUGUAAUCCCAGCUAUUCAGGAGGCUGAGAGAGGAGAAUCGCUUGAACACGGGAGGCAGAGGUUGCGGUGAGCUGAGAUUGCGCCAUUGCACUCCAGCCUGGGUGACAAGAGUGAAACUCCCAUCUCAAAAAAAUAAAAAGGCAGCACGAGUGCAAAUGUUUUGGCUUCUUCUUGUGUAGCUCAUCUCAUAUCUCCCAGUUAGAAACUUUCCUUGUAAUGUAGAAUCCCUAUUGCUGGGAUAUAAACCUGUAUCCUCCUGUUCUGUCCCCAGGGAAGAGAUGUCACAAGUCUGUUCAUUCAUUAGAGUACUAUUAUUUAUCUUUUCUGUAGACUUAUUUUCCGCAAGUUGUUUUGGCUUCUUUUCUGUAACUGGAUCUGGGUAACCUGACAGUGCAGAACCAGGCCCUGGGCUUCAGCACAGGGACAUGCCGAGGCUCGGGACACAGACACGUCCCCACUCUGCUACCCACUAGCCUAGGGACUCAACUGGGCUAGUUAGUCGGCUUUCUCAAACUCUUCAUCUGGAAAACAAUGUUAGAUUCUGGUUAAAUUUAGCUCUGAAUAUGAUCAUAUCUAUUUAAGCAUUAUUAUUAUUAUUAUUAUUUUUUUUUUUUGGAGAUGGAGUCUUGCUGUAUCACCAGGCUGGAAUGCAGUUGUGC